rnacentral:rRNA from 1 species
UGGGGAAUUUUGGACAAUGGGCGCAAGCCUGAUCCAGCCAUGCCGCGUGCGGGAAGAAGGCCUUCGGGUUGUAAACCGCUUUUGUCAGGGAAGAAAUCAUCUGAGUUAAUACCUCGGGAGGAUGACGGUACCUGAAGAAUAAGCACCGGCUAACUACGUGCCAGCAGCCGCGGUAAUACGUAGGGUGCAAGCGUUAAUCGGAAUUACUGGGCGUAAAGCGUGCGCAGGCGGUUUUGUAAGACAGAGGUGAAAUCCCCGGGCUCAACCCGGGAACUGCCUUUGUGACUGCAAGGCUUGAGUGCGGCAGAGGGGGGAUGGAAUUCCGCGUGUAGCAGUGAAAUGCGUAGAUAUGCGGAGGAACACCGAUGGCGAAGGCAAUCCCCCGGGCCUGCACUGACGCUCAUGCACGAAAGCGUGGGGAGCAAACAGGAUUAGAUACCCUGGUAGUCCACGCCCCUAAACGAUGUCGACUGGUUGUUGGGGAAGGUUCCUUCUCAGUAACGUAGCUAACGCGUGAAGUUGA